rnacentral:rRNA from 1 species
AUACGUAGGGAGCGAGCGUUGUCCGGAAUUACUGGGCGUAAAGAGCUCGUAGGUGGUUUGUCGCGUCGUCUGUGAAAUUCCGGGGCUUAACUCCGGGCGUGCAGGCGAUACGGGCAUAACUUGAGUACUGUAGGGGAGACUGGAAUUCCUGGUGUAGCGGUGAAAUGCGCAGAUAUCAGGAGGAACACCGGUGGCGAAGGCGGGUCUCUGGGCAGUAACUGACGCUGAGGAGCGAAAGCAUGGGUAGCGAACAGGAUUAGAUACCCUGGUAGUCCAUGCCGUAAACGGUGGGCGCUAGGUGUAGGGGUCUUCCACGACUUCUGUGCCGUAGCUAACGCAUUAAGCGCCCCGCCUGGGGAGUACGGCCGCAAGGCUAAAACUCAAAGGAAUUGACGGGG